rnacentral:tRNA from 1 species
GGAGGCGUCUGUGUCCUGGUGGGCACCGCGGUCUUCAACACCGUCGUGGCCUGGUAUCCAGGUCAGGUGGGUUCGAUUCCUGUCCGCCUCCG